AAGGGUUCAUAAGCACUUGGCAUUUCUUCAUUCUCGAAUUAUGACUUCAAUUGUAAUAUUCUCUUUACAGAAGGGAAUGGCAUUUCUAUAAAUAAAAGGCUUCAAAGUGGCUAAUUGAUCAUAAACAGUUAUAUAACUUUUGAUUUUAUAGUGACUGUGUGCACUUAUCAUUAUGCUAAAUGCUUUCAUAUGCUAAUUCUAUCAUUGUUAUUAGUAGGGAAAAAAAAGCGUUAACUUCAUCAUGAGAGGAGAUCGUGCGCAUGAGGGAAAAUCAAGAGUGAA
rnacentral:misc_RNA from 1 species